GAUGAACGCUGGCGGCAGGCUUAACACAUGCAAGUCGAACGCCCCGCAAGGGGAGUGGCAGACGGGUGAGUAACGCGUGGGAAUCUACCCAUCCCUACGGAACAACUCCGGGAAACUGGAGCUAAUACCGUAUACGCCCUUAGGGGGAAAGAUUUAUCGGGGAUGGAUGAGCCCGCGUUGGAUUAGCUAGUUGGUGGGGUAAAGGCCGACCAAGGAGACGAUCCAUAGCUGGUCUGAGAGGAUGAUCAGCCACAUUGGGACUGAGACACGACCCAAACUCCUACGGGAGGCAGCAGUGGGGAAUAUUGGACAAUGGGCGCAAGCCUGAUCCAGCCAUGCCGCGUGAGUGAUGAAGGCCUUAGGGUUGUAAAGCUCUUUCACCGAUGAAGAUAAUGACGGUAGUCGGAGAAGAAGCCCCGGCUAACUUCGUGCCAGCCGCCGCCGUAAUAC
rnacentral:rRNA from 1 species